GAUGAACGCUAGCGGCAGGCUUAACACAUGCAAGUCGAGGGGCAGCGCGAGGUAGCAAUACCUUGAUGGCGACCGGCGCACGGGUGCGUAACGCGUAUCCAACCUGCCGUGUACUCCGGGAUAGCCCUCUGAAAGGAGGAUUAAUACCGGAUGUGGUCGGGUGAAGACAUCUUUUCCCGAUUAAAGAUUUAUCGGUACACCGAUGGGGAUGCGUACGAUUAGGUAGUCGGCGGGGUAACGGCCCACCGAGCCUUCGAUCGUUAGGGGUUCUGAGAGGAAGGUCCCCCACAUAGGAACUGAGACACGGUCCUAACUCC
rnacentral:rRNA from 1 species